AGUGAACGCUGGCGGUAGGCCUAACACAUGCAACUCGAACGGCAGCACAGUAAGAGCUUGCUCUUACGGGUGGCGAGUGGCGGACGGGUGAGGAAUACAUCGGAAUCUACUUUUUCGUGGGGGAUAACGUAGGGAAACUUACGCUAAUACCGCAUACGACCUACGGGUGAAAGCAGGGGAUCUUCGGACCUUGCGCGAUUGAAUGAGCCGAUGUCGGAUUAGCUAGUUGGCGGGGUAAAGGCCCACCAAGGCGACGAUCCGUAGCUGGUCUGAGAGGAUGAUCAGCCACACUGGAACUGAGACACGGUCCAGACUCCUACGGGAGGCAGCAGUGGGGAAUAUUGGACAAAGGGCGCAAGCCUGAUCCAGCCAUACCGCGUGGGUGAAGAAGGCCUUCGGGUUGUAAAGCCCUUUUGUUGGGAAAGAAAAGCAGCAGGUUAAUACCCCGCUGUUCUGACGGUACCCAAAGAAUAAGCACCGGCUAACUUCGUG
rnacentral:rRNA from 1 species